CAGUCGCCACGGUAAAACGUAGGUGGCAAGCGUUGUCCGGAAUUAUUGGGCGUAAAGGGCUCGCAGGCGGUUUCUUAAGUCUGAUGUGAAAGCCCCCGGCUCAACCGGGGAGGGUCAUUGGAAACUAGGAAACUUGAGUGCAGAGGAGGAGAGUGGAAUUCCACGUGUAGCGGUGAAAUGCGUAGAGAUGUGGAGGAACACCAGUGGCGAAGGCGACUCUCUGGUCUGUAACUGACGCUGAGGAGCGAAAGCGUGGGGAGCGAACAGGAUUAGAUACCCCCGUAGUCCCUGUCUCUUAUAC
rnacentral:rRNA from 1 species